rnacentral:lncRNA from 1 species
CUAAUCUUUACUGUUGCAACAAGACUUCCCACUACCACAAAGACAAAGCAGCCAGAAGCCCUGAUCAAUUGUUACAUCAGCUUUUUAAAAGUUUCCCAUAGUACAUUUCCAGAAGCAUCAUCAAGACAUCAUAGAUAUGUCACAUAAUAGGUGUGGUCUCCAGGAAUGCCCCUGUCAAUCAAAUAUAGUAUUUCACAUGUACUCCAUCACAGUACAAAGGAAAGUAUUUACAGUUCCCUGGUCCCUGAGUCAAGUCAUACACACCCCUUAGUCUUGUCCAGGCUUCAUCCCAUUAUGGGGUGACUAGGCAUUGUGAUUGAGAUGGUUAUCUGUCUGACGCUCUUGGAGCAGGAUAUCUCCCGGUCAUGACUCCUUUCAAAGGACCUGCUGACAUGACUGUACAUCUCAGGAAUUAUGGUGGGCUCACUAACCCCUCACCUUGUACCUCACUUCCCUGGGUCCUAAAUGCCAUUGGAACUGAGAAGAUUGAUACGAGUGGUAUCUUAUGAAUUUCUAAAGUUUUCCCAUUGAGCCAGUACAUGGAUACAUUUAUCAGUGAAUUGCUACAUUUGGUAUUGGCGCUUACCCUGUUUUCCUAUGUUGGAGACCUGGGGCUCCUCCUGCAUACUGAGCUGAGCUGAGUUUCCCUUGCAGAUGCAAUGAUUUGCAGAUAUGUUGCUGUUAAUUUUCUUGACAUUAGGGGCUGCUGUCGGGAUCUUGAGUUUCUGAUUAGACAGGCACUGUUGGCCACGACUAGACCUAAUGGUCAGGGAUCCCUUUACCUUUACUUGUGAACGGAGUCUUGAACCUAAAUGCAGUGCUCCCCCCCUAAAAUGUUUAGGGGUACUCUCAUUUUGACUCAAGAAAAUCACCAUUUUAUAGUUCAAAUCAGGAGAAAUAAAUACUUUAAAUGGACAAAAGUACAAAGAUUCACAAAAUGUUUAGGGGUACACGUACCCCUGCGUCCCCCCUAGAAAAAAACACUGCCUAAAUGAAUGGUUUUGGUAAUGUGUGAGGCAAGGCUCAUGGUGGUGGGGUGUCUCUCAGCUCUGCCCGUCCUCUAACAUCUAUAGGUUUGGCUGCCCGUUGGAUAUCACCACCAAGUUUGGAGCGACGGUUCUCAAGGUGGGGCGCUUACAGAAAUUUAAGACUGAUAAAAUGAGAAACCGAGGAAACCAAAGUUGGCAGAUCUUUCUAUCCUGAAUUGCAAUCGGCCAGAGGUUUCCUAGCAGAACCUAACCUUUCUGCCCACCCCUGCUCCAUAUAGACAAACCUCGAUGAACCAAAUACAUGGACUAAAUUAGUGUUAAAUGGCAACCAGCAAACAAGGUGGUAGAGAAAGAUGGAUUUGGUGGACUAUGACGCAACCUAAAAUGCAAAUGCUUGAGGAAAACCAUGCAUGAGCUCAGGCUGUGUGUGUGUGUGUGUUGCAACAUAUAAUUGACCCAAUCAUAGUGUAUUAAUGGUGAAUUUAUACUGGCUUGCACACACAUUUUAUCAGGAAAACCAAGGUAUGACUGUAUUGCUGUUUGGAGAUGCCCUCUUGGAAUAGAGCCUGGGAGACCAGGGUUCAAAUCUCUUCGGCCAUGAAGCUCACUGGGCGAUCUUGGGCCAGUCUCUGCUUCUCAACCUUACGUACCUUACAGGUUUGUUGUGGGGAUUAAAUGAGGAGGGGAAGAACUAUGUACACCACCUAGGAGAAAACGGUGGGAUAUAAAUGCAAUAAUAAAAUAAAUAGAACACAAAAAGCAGGGCAAAAUAAAACAGAAACAGAACAUCUGUGGUGUAAAUAGUUAUAGUAUUUCAACAAGAAGUUAAGGGGCACACACCGAUUGGAAUCAAAGCAGUGUGCCCGAUCUGAAUUUUUGCAGGAGCAAACAGUACUGAGAGAGGGGUCACGUACAAAUGCUCUGAUACCAUCAUGUGCAAAAAUGGUCAUCAAUUCCUAAUUAAUAGGACACCUGGAGGAGCCCUCUGUCACACUGAAGGAUAGUUUGGGACCUGGGCAAAUGAAUGAACCUGAGACAGGGAAGUCCCUUGGUAGAAAGCAUGAGAAUAGAGAAGCCAGUUGCUUUAUUUGCCCCAGGAUUAAGCUUGCCAAGCCUGAAACUCUGAGUAACAAAGGGAUUAUUUUCCUUCCAAAAGCAUUUCAAUACAACCCAGGAAGAGAAUGAAGUUGCGCACAACGUAUGGGACUAAAGAUAAAUGCUGCCGGGGACCCAAAGGUGUGGGAGAUCAGCUGGGGGGAAUUAAAGGCUGCGCUGAAUGAUUUUGCUGCAUAAUACAUAAGAGGUCAAGGAAGAGG